rnacentral:rRNA from 1 species
AGUGAACGCUGGCGGUAGGCCUAACACAUGCCAGUCGAACGGCAGCACAGUAAGAGCUUGCUCUUACGGGUGGCGAGUGGCGGACGGGUGAGGAAUACAUCGGAAUCUACUUUUUCGUGGGGGAUAACGUAGGGAAACUUACGCUAAUACCGCAUACGACCUACGGGUGAAAGCAGGGGAUCUUCGCACCUUGCGCGAUUGAAUGAGCCGAUGUCGGAUUAGCUAGUUGGCGGGGUAAAGGCCCACCAAGGCGACGAUCCGUAGCUGGUCUGAGAGGAUGAUCAGCCACACUGGAACUGAGACACGGUCCAGACUCCUACGGGAGGCAGCAGUGGGGAAUAUUGGACAAUGGGCGCAAGCCUGAUCCAGCCAUACCGCGUGGGUGAAGAAGGCCUUCGGGUUGUAAAGCCCUUUUGUUGGGAAAGAAAAGCAGCAGGUUAAUACCCCGCUGUUCUGACGGUACCCAAAGAAUAAGCACCGGCUAACUUCGUG